CGAAACUUGCCCCGAGAUGAGUUCUCCCUGAGACUUUAGGUCUCCUGAAGGAACGUUGAAGACGACGACGUUGAUAGGCCGGGUGUGUAAGCGCAGCGAUGCGUUGAGCUAACCGGUACUAAUGAACAGGCGGAAAUUC
rnacentral:rRNA from 1 species